UUGAAAAAAAUAGGCAGGAUGAGACAUUUGGCAAAAAAAAAGGCAGGAUGACAAUUGUUGUAAAAAAGUCAGGAUAAGCUAAGAAAAAAAAGGCCAGGACCGAAUAGACUGAAAAAUAAAAAGGCAGGACAGAGAUUACAAAUAAAAAAAAAGGCAGGACACAAUUUUUCAUCCUAGCCCCCCCAUAAAAAUCAAAUGGUAGCUCCCUUAUA
rnacentral:lncRNA from 1 species